GCUCAGAAUGAACGUUGGCGGCGUGGAUUAGGCAUGCAAGUCGUACGGGCCGCAAGGCCAGUGGCGCAAGGGUGAGUAAGGCGACGGUAACCAACCCCGGGAUUGGGUAUAGCCGCGGGAAACUGCGGGUAAUCCCCAGCGACGUCGUCGGGAGGCAUCUCCCGAGGACCAAAGCCCCGGCGUCGCGGGACGGGCCGUCGUGGUAUUAGCUAGAUGGCGGGGUAACGGCCCACCAUGGCUGUGAUGCCUACCGGGCGUGCGAGCGUGGCCCGGCACACUGGGACUGAGACACUGCCCAGACUCCUACGGGAGGCUGCAGUCGAGAAUCUUCGGCAAUGGGCGCAAGCCUGACCGAGCGACGCCGCGUGGAGGACGAAGGCCUUCGGGUUGUAAACUCCUGUCGAGGGGGAAGAAGGUCGGGCAACCGGCUUGACUGAUCCCUGGAGGAAGCACGGGCUAAGUUCGUGCCAGCAGCCGCGGUAAGACGAACCGUGCGAACGUUAUUCGGAAUCACUGGGCUUAAAGCGCGUGUAGGCGGGACGACGCGUCGGUCGCUGAAAUCCCCCGGCUUAACCGGGGAACGGGCGCCGAUACGGUCGGCCUCGAGGGGCGUAGGGGGACCUGGAACUUCCGGUGGAGCGGUGAAAUGCGUUGAGAUCGGAAGGAACGCCCGUGGCGAAAGCGAGGUCCUGGACGCUUACUGACGCUGAGACGCGAAAGCCAGGGGAGCGAACGGGAUUAGAUACCCCGGUAGUCCUGGCCGUAAACGAUGGGCACUGGGUAGGGGGCUCGCCGAUGGGCUCCCUGCCGCAGCGAAAGCGUGAAGUGCCCCGCCUGGGGAGUAUGGUCGCAAGGCUGAAACUCAAAG
rnacentral:rRNA from 1 species